AUUGAACGCUGGCGGAAUGCUUUACACAUGCAAGUCGAACGGCAGCACGGACUUCGGUCUGGUGGCGAGUGGCGAACGGGUGAGUAAUGUAUCGGAACGUGCCCAGUCGUGGGGGAUAACGUAGUGAAAAUUACGCUAAUACCGCAUACGAUCUAUGGAUGAAAGCGGGGGAUCGCAAGACCUCGCGCGAUUGGAGCGGCCGAUAUCAGAUUAGGUGGUUGGUGGGGUAAAGGCCCACCAAGCCAACGAUCUGUAGCUGGUCUGAGAGGACGACCGUCCAAACUGGAAAUGAGACACGGUCCAGACUCCUACGGGAGGCAGCAGUGGGGAAUUUUGGACAAGGGGCGAAAGCCUGAUCCAGCCAUUCCGCGUGCAGGAUGAAGGCCCUCGGGUUGUAAACUGCUUUUGUACAGAACGAAAAGGUUUCUACUAAUACUAGGAGCUCAUGACGGUACUGUAAGAAUAAGCACCGGCUAACUACGUGCCAGCCGCCGCAGUAA
rnacentral:rRNA from 1 species